rnacentral:tRNA from 1 species
UUUCAAGUAGUUUAGUUAGAACAUAAUUGUGAAGUAAUUAAGGCAGGAAACUUUUGAAAA